UACGAAGGGGGCUAGCGUUGCUCGGAAUCACUGGGCGUAAAGCGCACGUAGGCGGAUUGCUAAGUCAGGGGUGAAAUCCUGGAGCUCAACUCCAGAACUGCCUAUGAUACUGGCGACCUUGAGUCCGGGAGAGGUGAGUGGAACUGCGAGUGUAGAGGUGGAAUUCGUAGAUAUUGGGAAGAACACCGGUGGCGAAGGCGGCGACCUGGUCCGUGACUGACGCUGAGGCGCGAAAGCGUGGGGAGCAAACAGG
rnacentral:rRNA from 1 species